AGUGAACGCUGGCGGUAGGCCUAACACAUGCAAGUCGAACGGCAGCACAGUAAGAGCUUGCUCUUACGGGUGGCGAGUGGCGGACGGGUGAGGAAUACAUCGGAAUCUACUUUUUCGUGGGGGAUAACGUAGGGAAACUUACGCUAAUACCGCAUACGACCUACGGGUGAAAGCAGGGGAUCUUCGGACCUUGUGCGAUUGAAUGAGCCGAUGUCGGAUUAGCUAGUUGGCGGGGUAAAGGCCCACCAAGGCGACGAUCCGUAGCGGGUCUGAGAGGAUGAUCAGCCACACUGGAACUGAGACACGGUCCAGACUCCUACGGGAGGCAGCAGUGGGGAAUAUUGGACGAUGGGCGCAAGCCUGAUCCAGCCAUACCGCGUGGGUGAAGAAGGCCUUCGGGUUGUAAAGCCCUUUUGUUGGGAAAGAAAAGCAGCAGGUUAAUACCCCGCUGUUCUGACGGUACCCAAAGAAUAAGCACCGGCUAACUUCGUG
rnacentral:rRNA from 1 species